UGCAAUCUUUUUUGUACAAAAAUUUGUAAUGAUCUUUAAAAUCUAUAUAUCAAUUAGCUAUUUCAUAUUUUCUUUCACGCUCAAAGAAUAUAAGUUAAAAUGAUGAGCAGAUUAACCCUGCUUUACAUAAUGAUAGACCUGUCCUGAGUAACUGUUGUAAAUUUUGAAUUCUAAGAUAUCUGGGUCAGCAAAGAGUGCAUUGAAAUUACAGAGGAUGUACUUGAUAUUUUAGCAGUUUUGGAGAUAUUGUUUUGUUUAAGACUUUAAAGUGUUUAAGUAUUGGUAUGAUAACAAUAAGAAUCACCUGGGAAAAGGAGAUAUACAACAGAAUCAGGCUGGGACAUAAGUGCUGACUGUGAGAAUUACCAACAGUGUUUAAUAAUGAUGUGCAGUAUUAAUCCUGAAAAGGUGAGCACAACCACAAGAAGUUCUAGGAAACAUAGGUAGAGGACUGAAAAUGGACAUCAAUAUAAGAAAUAGUAAUUUAAAUAAUCAGAAACACUUGAAACAAAUCUAAGAUUAAAACAGUUUAUCAUUGACAGAUUAAGAGCAAAAUAAUUGCU